GAACUAGCAGUUUAUGAAAAUGUUAAUUUGCAAAAUUAAUGGAGCCCUAGGCCUAGUUUU
rnacentral:tRNA from 1 species